GGAAGUGCCAUAGCUCACUGGCAGAGCACUUGCCUUGCAUGCAGAAGGCCUAAGGUUCAAUCCCCAGCAUCUCCU